UAGGGAAUCUUCCGCAAUGGACGCAAGUCUGACGGAGCAACGCCGCGUGAGUGAAGAAGGAUUUCGGUUCGUAAAACUCUGUUGUUAGAGAAGAACAGCGCAUAGAGUAACUGGUAUGCGUGUGACGGUAUCUAACCAGAAAGCCACGGCUAACUACGUGCCAGCAGCCGCGGUAAUACGUAGGUGGCAAGCGUUGUCCGGAUUUAUUGGGCGUAAAGCGAGCGCAGGCGGUCAAUUAAGUCUGAUGUGAAAGCCCCCGGCUCAACCGGGGAGGGUCAUUGGAAACUGGUUGACUUGAGUGCAGAAGAGGAGAGUGGAAUUCCAUGUGUAGCGGUGAAAUGCGUAGAUAUAUGGAGGAACACCAGUGGCGAAGGCGACUCUCUGGUCUGUAACUGACGCUGAGGCUCGAAAGCGUGGGUAGCAAACAGG
rnacentral:rRNA from 1 species